rnacentral:rRNA from 1 species
UACGUAGGGGGCAAGCGUUGUCCGGAAUUAUUGGGCGUAAAGAGCGUGUAGGCGGUCCGGUAAGUCAGCUGUGAAAGUCAAGGGCUCAACCCUUGAAAGCCGGUUGAUACUGUCGGGCUAGAGUGCGGAAGGGGCAUCUGGAAUUCCCAGUGUAGCGGUGAAAUGCGUAGAUAUUGGGAAGAACACCUGAGGCGAAGGCGGGAUGCUGGGCCGACACUGACGCUGAGGCGCGAAAGCCAGGGGAGCAAACGGG